GCCAUNGUUUUUAGCAGUAUUCUAACUCAGAUUAUUCAUAAUUUUUCAGGUGAAAACACAAUAAUUAUCUGGGCCAGUGUUAGUGCGGGUCUUCUCCUUCUGGUUCUCGUUCUGUUGUUGCUUGCCUUCAUUUUGUACAGGAAAAGAAAAGCAGGUAAGUAGGAUUCUAGAAGUGUUACUUUAAAAUGCCUGAGUGUAAGGACGAUUCCGCACUGGCUGGAAUACCAGACCAGCAAGUGUAUCAGGAGCCUCCCUUCCACAUGCUAGUGAUGUCUAAGGGAGGCUCUGCCCAUAGAGGGCAGGGUCUAAAGGGGCAGGGCCUUUCUUAGAAUGCAUCAUCAUGUAGAAGAGAAGUUCCUAAUAUGCUUGCUGGUCUGCUAUACCUGCCAGUGCAGAUUUGCCCUAAGACAUGCAGAACUGAAGACAUAGCACCUCCACAUGAGGGAGGCUUUCACAAGAAAAGCCUUUUUCAAAAAUUUACCUUUUCAGACAUGUUUUCUCUUUAAAAGGAAAACAAGUUUCUAGUCCUUAUUGUUGCAAAGAUAUGCUUUAUGGGAGCUUCUAUGGGCAAUUCCUAGUGAGAUUUCAAGACNAAGGAAGAUGUCCUGCAGUCAGAGGGAUGGGGCAUUGGAUAGGUAGCAGUCUUUUUUUGAGUCUGCAAGAAGCAGAAAUCAGUAAAAUAAAUAUGCUUGUGAAUAGCACUGGAGGAUCUGAACCACUCUGAUGCAGAAUUGCCAUAACACAGAUUAUUUGCAAUUCAACAUACAUGAAGCAAGACAAAGAGCUUUUAGAAAUAGCAUCCACAAUUGCAGUUUGGAAAAAAAAUGAUCAAAAUAUCUCACAAGGUUUCUCUAAAUCUACAGGCUCCAUCACCGGUGAAAGAAAUCAACCAGUAAGUGUGCCUCUUCAGCCCAAAACGUCUGCAGAACCUGAUGAAGUCUCCUAUGCUACGUUAAACCACUCAGUGAAAAUCAGACAGACAUCCACCCCCAAAGAAGUCCCUGAAUCUUGUGUCUAUGCAUCAGUGGCCCAAGACAGAAUGAGAAAGGAAUAAUAGCAGAAAGACUCCAGGAUAUUGCUGAUCUUUGCUGAACUUCUCCAUAUAUAUAAAACUUCUGGAGGUUGUGGAAGAAAAGAAUAAACUGGGGAAAAAACAGUAGAAACCUGGCA
rnacentral:lncRNA from 1 species